rnacentral:rRNA from 1 species
UAAUACGGAGGGUGCAAGCGUUAAUCGGAAUUACUGGGCGUAAAGGGUGCGUAGGUGGUUUAGUAAGUUAUCUGUGAAAUCCCCGGGCUCAACCUGGGCAGGUCAGAUAAUACUGUUAAACUCGAGUGUGGGAGAGGGUAGUGGAAUUUCCGGUGUAGCGGUGAAAUGCGUAGAGAUCGGAAGGAACACCAGUGGCGAAGGCGGCUACCUGGCCCAACACUGACACUGAGGCACGAAAGCGUGGGGAGCAAACAGG